GCAGUCGUGGCCGAGUGGUUAAGGCGAUGGCUAGAAAUUCAUUGGGGUCUCCCCGCACAGGUUCGGGUCCUGUCGACUGCG
rnacentral:tRNA from 2 species